AUUGAACGCUGGCGGCAGGCUUAACACAUGCAAGUCGAGCGGAGCGAGGGUGCUUGCACCUUAGCUUAGCGGCGGACGGGUGAGUAAUGCUUAGGAAUCUGCCUAUUAGUGGGGGACAACAUUCCGAAAGGGAUGCUAAUACCGCAUACGCCCUACGGGGGAAAGCAGGGGAUCUUCGGACCUUGCGCUAAUAGAUGAGCCUAAGUCGGAUUAGCUAGUUGGUGGGGUAAAGGCCUACCAAGGCGACGAUCUGUAGCGGGUCUGAGAGGAUGAUCCGCCACACUGGGACUGAGACACGGCCCAGACUCCUACGGGAGGCAGCAGUGGGGAAUAUUGGACAAUGGGGGGAACCCUGAUCCAGCCAUGCCGCGUGUGUGAAGAAGGCCUUUUGGUUGUAAAGCACUUUAAGCGAGGAGGAGGCGCUCUAGGUUAAUACCCUAGAUGCGUGGACGUUACUCGCAGAAUAAGCACCGGCUAACUCUGUGCCAGCCGCC
rnacentral:rRNA from 1 species